rnacentral:lncRNA from 1 species
AUGAGUCCUUGCUGUGGGCUUGCUUCUUUUUUGAAGUUUCUUUAUUUGAAAGUACAACAGAAAGAGAGAGAGAGAGAUUUUUCAUCUGCUGAUUCACUCCCCCAAAUGCCCACAACAGCCAGGGCUGGGCCAGACCAGUGUGAGGAGCCAUGGAUUUCAUCCUGGUCUCCCACAUGGACAGCAGGAACCCAGGUACUGAGCCAUCACCUGCCGCCUCAUAGGGUGCAGGUUAGCAGGCAGUUGCAUUGUAAGCAGAGGCAAGGACUCAGUGUCAGAAACAGCCUCCCAAGAGGCAACUUACCCCGCUGUACCCUAGCACCCACCCCCUGCUGGGGUUCUAGGAGACAAGAACCAGCUCAACUGAUCCUGACCUCCCAGUGGUGGUCACUUUCUCACCUCCUGGAAACCAGAGAGGGGGAAGUCUGCCUGCCCACCCAGCCCAACCCAACCUCUUCUCCCCCUCCCCACCCAGGCUCCUCCCGCCUCCCUAACUCCCUGAGAUCUGUCCCUCCGUCUUUGUGGGGGUGGGAUCCAGGCACCUUGUGGAGAGAAGCUGCAGCUCCUGGAUUCCAGUGGUGGGAGUUGGGGGUGGUGAGCUGGGUUCUUUCUUUCUUUCUUUCUUUCUUUCUUUCUUUCUUUCUUUCUUUCUUUCUUUCUUUCUUUCUUUCUUUCUUUCUUUCUUUCUCUUUCUUUCUUUCUUUCUUUCUUUCUUUCUCUCUCUCUCUCUCUUUCUUUCUUUCUUUCUUUCUUUCUUUCUUUCUUUCUUUCUCUCUUUCUUUCUUUCUUUCUUUCUUUCUUUCUUCCUUUCUUUCUUUUAACUUUUAUUUAAUGAAUAUAAAUUUCCAAAGUAUAGUUUAUGGAUUACAAUGCCCCCCCCAUAACUUCCCUCCCACCCGAAACCCUCCCCUUUCGAGCUGGGUCCUUUCUUUGUGCUUGGCUGUUUGGCUGCCUGCUUCUUGGAGCUGCUGUUGCGACCCCAGGGGUCAGCCCAGCUCAGCUGAGAGUUAG